GGGGAAUAUUGCACAAUGGGGGAAACCCUGAUGCAGCGACGCCGCGUGAGUGAAGAAGUAUUUCGGUAUGUAAAGCUCUAUCAGCAGGGAAGAAAAUGACGGUACCUGACUAAGAAGCCCCGGCUAACUACGUGCCAGCAGCCGCGGUAAUACGUAGGGGGCAAGCGUUAUCCGGAUUUACUGGGUGUAAAGGGAGCGUAGGUGGUGCGUCAAGUCAGAUGUGAAAGCCCGGGGCUCAACCCCGGGACUGCAUUUGAAACUGUCGAACUAGAGUGCAGGAGAGGUAAGUGGAAUUCCUAGUGUAGCGGUGAAAUGCGUAGAUAUUAGGAGGAACACCAGUGGCGAAGGCGGCUUACUGGACUGUAACUGACACUGAGGCUCGAAAGCGUGGGGAGCAAAC
rnacentral:rRNA from 1 species